ACAACGAAGAGUUUGAUCCUGGCUCAGGAUGAACGCUAGCGACAGGCUUAACACAUGCAAGUCGAGGGGCAGCACGGGUAGCAAUACCGGGUGGCGACCGGCGCACGGGUGAGUAACGCGUAUGCAACUUACCUAUCAGAGGGGGAUAACCCGGCGAAAGUCGGACUAAUACCGCAUGAAGCAGGGGCCCCGCAUGGGGAUAUUUGCUAAAGAUUCAUCGCUGAUAGAUAGGCAUGCGUUCCAUUAGGCAGUUGGCGGGGUAACGGCCCACCAAACCGACGAUGGAUAGGGGUUCUGAGAGGAAGGUCCCCCACAUUGGUACUGAGACACGGACCAAACUCCUACGGGAGGCAGCAGUGAGGAAUAUUGGUCAAUGGGCGUAAGCCUGAACCAGCCAAGUCGCGUGAGGGAUGAAGGUUCUAUGGAUCGUAAACCUCUUUUAUAAGGGAAUAAAGUGCGGGACGUGUCCCGUUUUGUAUGUACCUUAUGAAUAAGGAUCGGCUAACUCCGUGCCAGCAGCCGCGGUAAUACGGAGGAUCCGAGCGUUAUCCGGAUUUAUUGGGUUUAAAGGGUGCGUAGGCGGCCUUUUAAGUCAGCGGUGAAAGUCUGUGGCUCAACCAUAGAAUUGCCGUUGAAACUGGGGGGCUUGAGUAUGUUUGAGGCAGGCGGAAUGCGUGGUGUAGCGGUGAAAUGCUUAGAUAUCACGCAGAACCCCGAUUGCGAAGGCAGCCUGCCAAGCCAUGACUGACGCUGAUGCACGAAAGCGUGGGGAUCAAACAGGAUUAGAUACCCUGGUAGUCCACGCAGUAAACGAUGAUCACUAGCUGUUUGCGAUACACUGUAAGCGGCACAGCGAAAGCGUUAAGUGAUCCACCUGGGGAGUACGCCGGCAACGGUGAAACUCAAAGGAAUUGACGGGGGCCCGCACAAGCGGAGGAACAUGUGGUUUAAUUCGAUGAUACGCGAGGAACCUUACCCGGGUUUGAACGCAUUUCGACCGCUCUGGAAACAGAGCCUCUAGCAAUAGCGAUUUGCGAGGUGCUGCAUGGUUGUCGUCAGCUCGUGCCGUGAGGUGUCGGCUUAAGUGCCAUAACGAGCGCAACCCUUGCCACUAGUUACUAACAGGUAAAGCUGAGGACUCUGGUGGGACUGCCAGCGUAAGCUGCGAGGAAGGCGGGGAUGACGUCAAAUCAGCACGGCCCUUACAUCCGGGGCGACACACGUGUUACAAUGGCGUGGACAAAGGGAAGCCACCUGGCGACAGGGAGCGAAUCCCCAAACCACGUCUCAGUUCGGAUCGGAGUCUGCAACCCGACUCCGUGAAGCUGGAUUCGCUAGUAAUCGCGCAUCAGCCAUGGCGCGGUGAAUACGUUCCCGGGCCUUGUACACACCGCCCGUCAAGCCAUGGGAGCCGGGGGUACCUGAAGUCCGUAACCGCGAGGAUCGGCCUAGGGUAAAACUGGUGACUGGGGCUAAGUCGUAACAAGGUAGCCGUACCGGAAGGUGCGGCUGGAACACCUCCUUU
rnacentral:rRNA from 1 species